rnacentral:rRNA from 1 species
UACGUAGGGUGCGAGCGUUAAUCGGAAUUACUGGGCGUAAAGCGUGCGCAGGCGGCGCGUUAAGACAGGUGUGAAAGCCCCGAGCUUAACUUGGGAAUUGCGCUUGUGACUGGCGUGCUGGAGUGUGGCAGAGGGAGGUGGAAUUCUCGGUGUAGAGGUGAAAUUCGUAGAUAUCGAGAGGAACACCGGUGGCGAAGGCGGCCAACUGGACGAAGACUGACGCUGAGACACGAAAGCGUGGGGAGCAAACAGG